CGAAAGCCUGACGGAGCAAUACCGCGUGAGGGAGGAAGGCUCUUGGGUUGUAAACCUCUUUUCUCAGGGAAGAACAGAAUGACGGUACCUGAGGAAUAAGCAUCGGCUAACUCCGUGCCAGCAGCCGCGGUAAUACGGAGGAUGCAAGCGUUAUCCGGAAUGAUUGGGCGUAAAGAGUCCGUAGGUGGCAUUGAAAGUCUGCUGUUAAAGAGUCUAGCUCAACUAGAUAAGAGCAGUGGAAACUACAAAGCUAGAGUUUGGUCGGGGCAGAAGGAAUUCCUGGUGUAGCGGUGAAAUGCGUAGAGAUCAGGAAGAACACCGGUGGCGAAGGCGUUCUGCUAGGCCGAGACUGACACUGAGG
rnacentral:rRNA from 1 species